UGGUCAAGAUGAGUAAAUGAAUAAAUUUAGGAAACUAUAAAAAGAGGGAGUGUAUUGCUGUAAUUUCCAUUCCUCAUUUUGCUGUGCCCCAGUUGAAUUUUACUCCAAAUAUUUUUGACUUUUGCUGAUCAGGCCAUGGAUUACCUUUCCUGUGAACCUCUGUGCUCACGUGGUCCAAUCGAUGCAGAACUGCUCUCUGCAACAGUACCUAACUUAACACAAACAUCCUUUUCACACUAUGAACCUGAAAUCUGGAAGUUUUUCCCAUUGUAUGGUCAUGAUAGAAAUCUGACACUCUGGUAGACAUUGUAUCUCACGCUUUAGCUAAUCUCAGUUUCAUGAAGUUAACCAUGUAUACUGAUUUUGUUCUAGCUGUGGAAAGUGCCAUGCAUCCACUUAAACUGGGGGACCUAAGACUGCUUUCCAGAACAAAGUUAACCAGGCCUGGCUGCAUCCUGACUGUGUUGAAAUCAGACCCAGGCACAUCACUCUGGCCUAGCUGCCACUGGCAAGAAAGCCUCAGGCAGAUGAGGAGGAGCUCCAGCAGAUCUCUUGUUUUGGAUGACUGGUAGCCACAACUGUAACAUGCAUUUUGGAGCACACUGUCCUGCAAUUUAGGCACAAAUACUAAGUGCCAAAUAGAAUUUUGAAUCAAUCCUCUGCCAAUUAAGAGUAAGAUUAAGUUCAAAAAUGAGUGCUAUCAAACAUAUUACACUUUGGAAGAAAGACAAUUUUCCAUAGUGGAAGUAAGACUACACUGCUGUCUAUUACCAACUUUAUUUUUAGAUGUCCAGACUGAAUUUAAUUGAAGCUAUCUAAGCUCUCAAAGCAAAGAAAUCAGAGGAGGUUUUUUUAUAGAUUCAUACACAAAAGUACAAUUGCUCCCCUGGAGCAGUUUUUUUUUUAAUUUUUUUCAUCUUUAGGCUUACCCAGCUCUUUAAAUCAUUCCAGGCUGGUUUCUCUUCAAUUGUUACUCAUUUUGAUGUUGCCUCUGAACUGAACACUGGAUUCUGGUGAUCAUCAGCAUGGAGUGCUAUUGUUAUACACUUGGACAGAGACUGGACUUCCUGCUGGAAGAAUGGCCAUGACAGUUACGCAUGCUGAUCCAAAACAUAUUCACAGGUACAUACGACACACAAUAGCUCAAGAAAAAAAAAAAAAAGACCUCUUUAGGUACAUAAAGAAGUGAUGUCUAAACAAUUAGCAUGUCACAAAAGAGGCCAGCUAUUUAAAUGAUUACAUUAUACAGGGAACAAAUAGGAGUAUCUCUUCUGCAUACAAGGACUUUUCAUUUACAGCUUUAGCAUUACUUUUUUUUAUGCUGCUUUGGCCACUUAAACAGCUGCUUUUUUUCCUUUUUUUUUUUUUUUUUUUUAAAGUUGACUACAUUUUAUACUCUCCACAGCUUUUAUAUGGUUGUAUAAUGCUUUUUCUUUUUAAUUUAUUUUGUUACCUAUGUGGGUAAAAUUAAUAGUGAAUGCUGACUUAUUUCAUAAACUUUAUUAAGCCUUUGGGGAAACUUCAGUGUGCUCAUAUGGAGAGGCAAUAUAGAGUGUAUCCACUGUAUCAUGACACAGAAAUUACAAUUCUAAGCUAGAAAUAAAUGACAUUCCAGAAAAAGCAGAAGGAACAACAUUUAAGGAGUUAAUAAUGAACCACUUGUCUUCAUUUUCAGAUCCUUUAAUCCUGCUAUUGUGCAGUUUUCACACAGUGCUAAAUUGAAUUACUGCAUCAUUUUUUACAAUUUCUUCAUACAGUUGACCCAGUUUAUAGCAGGUUUGAAAGCAUUAUCAUUGCUUAAGGUUGAAAGAUGCUGCAGUGUAUUGCAUUAAAAGUCAAUCAGCGCAGAAGUAUUUUGAUGUAAUUUUGCUUUUGGAUAUAGAAGAACAGAUACCCAAAUGAAGGAUGGUAUUUCAUUUUGUCAUAACACUGUCACAUAAUACAGCAUGCCUUUUUUAUACAAUAUGUAUAGUCUCAUUUUAUUAUAUUUCUUUCUCUAUGUUUCUGGUUCUAAUAAAGUGAAUCCUCAGUUUA